GUCGGGGGGUGCUCGCAAGCGCCGUCUGGCCGCGGCGCAGCGCCCGGCCCCGGCAGCGAGCCCUGCCCGCUCCUCCUGCGCCGCGCGGGCAGGAGCGGGCUCGCUCCCUUCCCGGUCUAGUAUCUGUGUCUGGGUGAAAUCCCUCAGGGUGCCGACACCGUUUUUUUCUAAAUAUCAACGUUUCUGGCCUCUGCAGCAGCAGGGACAUUUCUGUAUCUCUGGGUACCACAGCUGAGAAAUUGGGAAGAGAGUUGAACUUUACAAGGAACAUCCAAGUUUGGAAGUCCCCAGCAGACAAAUCUUUGUACAAAACCACCCACAGUGCAGAAUGGAACCAACCGUUUUUCACAUAUGGGAUGAUCGUUGCUCUGUUGCUAAUGGGUUUUUCAACACACAGCCAAAGCAUCCCCAUUUCUGACAGCCAUGAGCCAAGGUCCAUUUGGCCUGUAAUGGCAGUUGAGUGUAUCAGUGCCUCCACCUCAUCUUUAAAAAUGUGUGUUAUCAGCCUACAACAAAUUUCCAUAAAGAAAAAAAAAAGAGAAAAUUAAUGUUUUAAUGAAAAUAUUCA